rnacentral:rRNA from 1 species
CGUGUAGCCGGGAAGGCAAGUCAGAUGUGAAAUCCACGGGCUCAACUCGUGAACUGCAUUUGAAACUGUUUUUCUUGAGUAUCGGAGAGGCAAUCGGAAUUCCUAGUGUAGCGGUGAAAUGCGUAGAUAUUAGGAAGAACACCAGUGGCGAAGGCGGAUUGCUGGACGACAACUGACGGUGAGGCGCGAAAGCGUGGGAGCAAACA